ACUUAAACUUAAAGGCUAAAUAACACCACAAACCCCAUUUCCUCACCCAACCAAACCAUUUGAAUUUAGUCAGUAUUUGUGAUAAAACACUACCCCAGCCCAAUUAGUACCGCAAGGGAAAAAUGAAAGAACAAUGAAAUACUUAAGUAUUUUAAAGCAAAGAUUCAUCCUUGUACCUCCUGCAUCAUGAUUUAGCAAAACACAUUCAGACAAAGCGAACUUAGCCUGACAACCCGAAACCAAACGAGCUAUUUUUGACCAGCUUUCACCAGAGCAAACCCGUCUCUGUAGCAAAAGAGUGGGAAGAGUCGAAAAUAGAGGCAAAAAACCUAUCGAGCUUGGUGAUAGCUGGUUACUCACAAAAGAAUUUUAGUUCAACCUUGAGUACUAAAGAGCACCUAAACUCUGAACUUAUAGACUCAAGCAAAAUUGAAGGGGGUACAGCCCCUUCAACCCGGGAUACAGCCCGUACAGAGAGAAAACCUCAAACUUAUUAAUAGUAGGCCUCAAAGCAGCCACCCAUAACCGCGUUCCAGCCCACCCUUAAACCAAUCCCUACAAACUCCACCUUCUCCUGAAUUUUCCUGAGUUAUUUUAUAAAAUUAUAAAAACACUAAUGCUAGAACUAGUAAUAAGAAAGACUCUCUCCGCAUACCCUUAAAUCAGCACAGAAAAACUACUGAUAGUUAACAGCAUUAACCCUAACAAUAACCCACAAGACCCUUUGUUACACAAUCUGUUACCCCAACAUAGGAAUGCAAAAAAGAAAGGUUAAAAAUUACAAAAGGAACUCGGCAAAAACACAAUCCCAACUGUUUACCAAAAACAUAGCCUUUAGCCCAACAAGUAUUAAAGGUCCAGCCUGCCCAGUGACCCGUUCAACGGCCGCGGUAUCCUAACCGUGCAAAGGUAGCAUAAUCACUUGUCCCCUAAAUAGGGACUAGUAUGAACGGCUAAAUGAGGAUUAAACUGUCUCUUGUAAUUAACCUAUGAAACUGAUCUUGUAGUCCAAAAGCUACAAUACAAACACCAGACGAGAAGACCCUGUGGAGCUUUUAAACCAAAGCCAAAUAAAUGCCCCUUGGUUUUUAGUUGGGGCAACUUCGGAGCACAAACAAACCUCCGACAAACCACAAGUCGAGACAAACAAGUCAAUACUUAUACCUGACCCAAUAGUCUGACCUAAACUAUUUGACCAAUGAACCAAGUUACCCCAGGGAUAACAGCGCUAUCCUCUUUUAGAGUCCCUAUCGACAAGAGGGCUUACGACCUCGAUGUUGGAUCAGGACACCCCAAUAAUGCAGCCGUUAUUAAAGGUUCGUUUGUUCAACGAUUAAUAGUCCUACGUGAUCUGAGUUCAGACCGGAGAAAUCCAGGUCGGUUUCUAUCUGUGUUAGUACCACCCCUAGUACGAAAGGACCGGGGUGGUAGGACCAAUGCCAACAGUAUGUCUUACAGAACAACCCUUGAUCAUAACUAAAAUGGCUAAUUCUCCUAAUAUUAUAACCAUAGACUAAGGUUU
rnacentral:rRNA from 1 species